AGUGAACGCUGGCGGUAGGCCUAACACAUGCAAGUCGAACGGCAGCACAGUAAGAGCUUGCUCUUACGGGUGGCGAGUGGCGGACGGGUGAGGAAAACAUCGGACUCUACUUUUUCGUGGGGGAUAACGUAGGGAAACUUACGCUAAUACCGCAUACGACCUACGGGUGAAAGCAGGGGAUCUUCGGACCUUGCGCGAUUGAAUGAGCCGAUGUCUGAUUAGCUAGUUGGCGGGGUAAAGGCCCACCAAGGCGACGAUCCGUAGCUGGUCUGAGAGGAUGAUCAGCGACACUGGAACUGAGACACGGUACAGACUCCUACGGGAGGCAGCGGUGGGGAAUAUUGGACACUGGGGGCAAGACUGAUCCAGCCAUACCGGGUGGGUGAAGAAGGCCUUCGGGUUGUAAAGCCCUUUUGUUGGGAAAGAAAAGCAGCAGGUUAAUACCCCGCUGUUCUGACGGUACCCAAAGAAUAAGCACCGGCUAACUUCGUG
rnacentral:rRNA from 1 species